CUUCAGAAGCAAGUGUCGCUGUCUUGGGAACAUCAUGUAACCUCAUCUGUCACUUUCCGUUCGCAUUCUCUUCUCCCAGCACGGGCCCCUGGGCCGACCUUGAAGAAGCAGCCAGCCCUGAGAACCUGGGUCGGAGAGGAUGUUUCUGCAUUGAAUAGCCCUGGAAGACAGAAUUCUUGUCUCUCCAAAGAUCUGGCAGACUUAUUCCCAAUUAUAAGAGAUCCUUGCAAAGGAGGUGUCUUGCUUCACCUUCACCUUCCACUGUGAUUGUAAGUUUUCUGAGGCCUCGCCAGCCAUGCGGAACUGAAUAGGACUAGCAACUUCAUAGACGGUUGUGAAGACAAGCUAGACGGCAGAUGAAAGUUCUUGGCACAGAGUGAACACUUGAUAAACUAUAUGGCAGGGAGGGCUGGAACGGGGCUUGUUUGAAGAGCAAUAUGAGCCAGGGUUAUAGACCUGAGUUUGGGGUAAGAGUGGAACAUCCAAAUGGAAGAGUCCAGCAGCUGAAAGGACAUUUGUUCAAAGGCCUUUUUCA
rnacentral:lncRNA from 1 species